AAUAAUUAGAAAGAGGAAAUCUGAGCGAGUCCCCUCCUUCCUUCCUUCCUUCCUUCCUUCCUGUCUCUGUCUCUCUCUCAGAAUUUCUGUGAGAGAUCUAUUAGAGUUCCUCAAUUUAGGUAUUUUUUCACAAUUUAUUCAUCGGUGAAACUCCAUCUCUGACUUUGUUUAAUGUUCACAAGGGAUAACUUUAGGUAUGGGACAAAGGAACAUGCUGUGCACUAGUCAGAUAGAUCUAGAAAUGGAUCAGCAAGGCCAGGGUUAUCUUCAUCCUGAGCCCUGCAUUCUCUUGGGGGGCAUAACUAACUUCCCACAGCCUGAUAUUCAGACAGU
rnacentral:misc_RNA from 1 species